UACGGGGGGAGCAAGCGUUGUUCGGAUUUACUGGGCGUAAAGAGCUCGUAGGCGGCUUAGUAAGUCGGGUGUGAAACCUCCAGGCUCAACCUGGAGACGCCACCCGAUACUGCUGUGGCUAGAGUCCGGUAGGGGAGCGUGGAAUUCCUGGUGUAGCGGUGAAAUGCGCAGAUAUCAGGAGGAACACCAGCGGCGAAGGCGGCGCUCUGGGCCGGUACUGACGCUGAGGAGCGAAAGCGUGGGUAGCGAACAGG
rnacentral:rRNA from 1 species